CAAUGUGUGCAUUGAACUUACAGAGUUAAACUGAUGUCUGUAUGGAGCAGUUUAGAAACCCUUUCUGUGGAGAAUCUUAAAACAGUCAUUUCCAGACCUAGAGACUCAUGU